rnacentral:rRNA from 1 species
AGUGAACGCUGGCGGUAGGCCUAACACAUGCAAGUCGAACGGCAGCACAGUAAGAGCUUGCUCUUACGGGUGGCGAGUGGCGGACGGGUGAGGAAUACAUCGGAAUCUACUUUUUCGUGGGGGAUAACGUAGGGAAACUUACGCUAAUACCGCAUACGCCCUACGGGUGAAAGCAGGGGAUCUUCGGACCUUGCGCGAUUGAAUGAGCCGAUGCCGGAUUAGCUAGUUGGCGGGGUAAAGGCCCACCAAGGCGACGAUCCGUAGCUGGUCUGAGAGGAUGAUCAGCCGCACGGGAACUGAGACACGGUCCAGACUCCUACGGGAGGCAGCAGUGGGGAAUAUUGGACAAUGGGCGCAAGCCUGAUCCAGCCAUACCGCGUGGGUGAAGAAGGCCUUCGGGUUGUAAAGCCCUUUUGUUGGGAAAGAAAAGCAGCAGGUUAAUACCCCGCUGUUCUGACGGUACCCAAAGAAUAAGCACCGGCUAACUUCGUG